AACGCGAAGAACCUUACCUGGGCUCGAAAUAUAGAGGACGACAACAGAGAUGUUGUCUCUCGAAAGGGCCUUUAUAUAGGUGCUGCAUGGCUGUCGUCAGCUCGUGCCGUGAGGUGUUUGGUUAAGUCCAGCAACGAGCGCAACCCUUAUCGUUAGUUGCCAACACGUAAAGGUGGGAACUCUAACGAGACUGCCUGGGUUAACCAGGAGGAAGGUGAGGAUGACGUCAAGUCCGCAUGGCCUUUAUGUCCAGGGCUACACACGUGCUACAAUGGUCGGUACAGAAGGCAGCAGAACCGCAAGGCGAAGCAAAUCCCGAAAAACCGAUCUCAGUUCAGAUUGUAGUCUGCAACUCGGCUACAUGAAGUUGGAAUUGCUAGUAAUGGCGUGUCAGCAACAACGCCGUGAAUACGUUCCCGGGCCUUGUACACACCGAUACUC
rnacentral:rRNA from 1 species